rnacentral:rRNA from 1 species
AUUGAACGCUGGCGGCAUGCUUUACACAUGCAAGUCGAACGGCAGCGCGGGGCAACCUGGCGGCGAGUGGCGAACGGGUGAGUAAUAUAUCGGAACGUACCCAAGAGUGGGGGAUAACGUAGCGAAAGUUACGCUAAUACCGCAUACGAUCUAAGGAUGAAAGCAGGGGACCGCAAGGCCUUGUGCUCCUGGAGCGUCCGAUAUCUGAUUAGCUAGUUGGUAGGGUAAAGGCCUACCAAGGCUACGAUCAGUAGCUGGUCUGAGAGGACGACCAGCCACACUGGAACUGAGACACGGUCCAGACUCCUACGGGAGGCAGCAGUGGGGAAUUUUGGACAAUGGGCGCAAGCCUGAUCCAGCCAUUCCGCGUGAGUGAAGAAGGCCUUCGGGUUGUAAAGCUCUUUCGCAAGGGAAGAAAACUUACCCUCUAACAUAGGGUGAGGAUGACGGUACCUUGAUAAGAAGCACCGGCUAACUACGUGCCAGCAGCCGCCGCGGUAA